rnacentral:rRNA from 1 species
UUGGAGGGCAAGUCUGGUGCCAGCAGCCGCGGUAAUUCCAGCUCCAAUAGCGUAUAUUAAAGUUGUUGCAGUUAAAAAGCUCGUAGUUGAAUUUCGGGAUUCGUCCAUUGGUCAGGCUUAACUGUCUGUACUGAUGUGUCGGAUUUCUACCUUCUGAAGAACCUUUAUGCCAUUAAUUUGGUGUGUUGGGGAACCAGGACUGUUACUUUGAAAAAAUUAGAGUGUUUAAAGCAGGCUAACGUCUGAAUACAUUAGCAUGGAAUAAUGAAAUAGGACGGUACGGUUCUAUUUUGUUGGUUUCUAGGAUCGCCGUAAUGAUUAAUAGGGAUAGUUGGGGGCAUUAGUAUUCAAUUGUCAGAGGUGAAAUUCUUGGAUUUAUUGAAGACUAACUACUGCGAAAGCAUUUGCCAAGGAUGUUUUCAUUAAUCAAGAACGAAAGUUAGGGGAUCGAAGACGAUCAGAUACCGUCGUAGUCUUAACCAUAAACUAUGCCGACUAGGGAUUGGACGAUGUUAAUUUUUUAAUGACUCGUUCAGCACCUUACGGGAAACCAAAGUGUUUGGGUUC